rnacentral:rRNA from 1 species
CCUACGGGAGGCAGCAGUGAGGAAUAUUGGUCAAUGGGCGGAAGCCUGAACCAGCCAAGUAGCGUGCGGGAUGAAGGCCCUACGGGUUGUAAACUUCUUUUAUACAGGAAUAAAGUGAGGCACGUGUGCCUUUUUGUAUGUACUUUAUGAAUAAGGAUCGGCUAACUCCGUGCCAGCAGCCGCGGUAAUACGGAGGAUCCGAGCGUUAUCCGUAUUUAUUGGGUUUAAAGGGAGCGUAGAUGGGUUGUUAAGUCAGUUGUGAAAGUUUGCGGCUCAACCGUAAAAUUGCAAUUGAUACUGGCAGCCUUGAGUACAGGUGAGGUAGGCGGAAUUCGUGGUGUAGCGGUGAAAUGCUUAGAUAUCACGAAGAACUCCGAUUGCGAAGGCAGCUUACUAAACUGCCACUGACAUUGAUGCUCGAAAGUGUGGGUAUCAAACAGGAUUAGAUACCCUUGUAGUC